rnacentral:rRNA from 1 species
UACAGAGGUCCCAAGCGUUGUUCGGAUUCAUUGGGCGUAAAGGGUGCGUAGGUGGCGCCGUAAGUCGGGUGUGAAAUUUCGGAGCUUAACUCCGAAACUGCAUUCGAUACUGCGGUGCUUGAGGACUGGAGAGGAGACUGGAAUUCAUGGUGUAGCAGUGAAAUGCGUAGAUAUCGUGAGGAAGACCAGUGGCGAAGGCGGAUCUCUGGACAGUUCCUGACGCUGAGGCGCGAAGGCCAGGGGAGCAAACGGG